CUCGUGGUAGCCAAGUACAUAACCUGGAGGAGGGGGGAGAUGAAUUCAGAAAGCUAAACAACAGAUCUACCUCCGGACGCUGCCGCUUGAGUCCAUUGCAAGUCCCAACCCAUUAAAGACAGCGCAAGGGGAAGCAGAGCGAUCGCUCCGGCAAAGCUCCCGAAACCCAGCGACCCCCCAUUCAAUCCCCGCCGCCGCCACCGAGCCGGGCUGCACUACACACCACAGUAAACAACAGUGAAGGCGAUGGUUACUGCUGUCAAUCUUGGCAAUCAAUGUGAGCGGCCAUGUCGUAAGUAUUCAAAGCAUUUCCCGUCGUGCAACAUCAGAAAGUGAGUGGCCAGGGCAUUGAUCUAAGGAAGGCGAAGGGAGGCAGGGCUCCCCCUCCCAGGCAGCACAGGCAAGAUGAGACAACGCGGAGAGGGAGAGGGAAGGAGGGAGGGAGGGAGGGAGGGCGGGGGAGCAACAACUGGAGAGAAAGUGAGCACAAAACAGAAAGUGAAAUCACCCCCGGCUGCCAGCCGCAUCACGGUGCAGCGAUCCCCACUCUCACUGCCCGUACACAAGUGCAACCCUAAACCUCUCCGGCCUAAUGACCACUGAUUGCCCGGUGUGGUGAGGAAAGGUAAUAGAAAGUUACCGGGGGGAGAAGGGGGGGCAGGACUGAAGAAGAAGAGAAUAAACUAAAGGAGAAAAAGAGUCGUGUUACACCCGGACACCCCCCCCAAACCCACCCACCACCACCGCCCCCCACAGCAGCACUCUAACUGGGGGCGCUUGGGAAAGCCACGCACCGAAGUCGCUGAGGAGCAGCUCUGGCUGGACUGAAAAGCCGGCAGAGAUCCUGACAGCCGGACUCGGAGGAGCCCGAUCUUCCGGCUGAGCCAGAGGCAAAGUCUCCGCGACACGGGACGAGCCCAGCCCGGCUGCGGGGCAGGGGCGAGGGACGCGGGUGGGAUGCUCCCGGGCCCGGGGCUGGGCAGAAAGCCCUGCUGAGCCCAAGCAGCUUCCAGGUGAAGCUCCGGGACCUGCUGCGAUGCCGAGAUGCGCAUCCGCGGCACGAGCCGGGAGGGCGCGGAGCAGCGACCUGGGACCCGGCGCUGGCUUGCAAGUGUUAAGGACACAAGCAGGCAACUCUGGGGAGGCGGACGGGGCAGCUCGGAGGAGAUGAGGAGCGCCAGGAAAGACGCAGGCAUGUAGUUUGAAACUCCAAGAGGCGACCGUGAAAGAGGUGCCGGGGGCCUGGAGAUGAGGUGGGCGAAGCGGGCUCCCCCUUUGGAUGCGAUUCACACCUAGGCUCCUCCAGCUACUGCGCCUGACAGUGCCGGGAGAGCGGGGCAAGAGGGAAAAAAGUUGGUGAUUCGUCUUCGUGUGCUUGGGCAGCCCUUGCCCCUUUUCCAGCAGGCGCCUGGAACAAUUAGGAACAAAGAAACUUUUUAAAUUAUUAUUUUAAAAGAGCUUGAGAACUUCUAGAGGCCAGGAGGAGAGGAGGAAGCGUGGGCUCGCCUUCUCUCACUCCUCUUCAAGCCGAAAUUCAGCCCAAUCACACCUCCUUGGUCCAGAGGGACCUGAUGAAAAUGCCCAAGAGCGGGACAAAAUGACACAGGCUUGCUUGGCCCCGGCUCUCUUUUCUUCCCUUAACUUUUGCAACACUCUACAAGAUGCUCACGCUCCCUCGUCUUCCUGCUACCCGAAGUGGCUAGCAGGGUCGCCUUUCCCAAAGCAAGUCCUUCAGUUUAUAAGCAGGGUCUCCUGCAAGAAGGGAACCUUUUUUUUCACUGCAAUUUCUUUUGGACUCUGCCACCAAAUGAAGGGCACAGCCAGCGUCGCUGUGUCAGCGGCGAGCGCCUUAAAACAAAACUUUUAAUGUACCCAGCGGCUGGAAGCAAUGCUUUCCAGUUAGCUGGCUAACUUACAGAAACUCAGUUUUUCAGGCACUCUUUCCAUUCUGAUCGGAGGGCUAUAACAUCUCAAAUGAGCAGGAGGCUCGAUUGCAAUGAUGAGUUUGCUGAGCGCAGGUGAAUGUCAAGCCAAACUAUUCACCUGGCUCUAGGUGCCUGGCGUUUGGAUUUAACCAAACGAGAUCGCUUUCCGUUUCAGGUCCUGGAGAUGUCCUUUGCAAACUUCAAUUAAAAGCAUCCCUGUAAUGCGGCCAUAACACCUUUCCCCCAACAAAUGAAACCGUCCCACAAAUGAGGACUAGACCGAGAGUUGUUGGUUUUUUUGUCACGGUCAGUGUCACUGGCAUAAGAAAUUGGGAUCUGUAAAGGAAAAAAAUAUACUGACCUAGGGACAAUGUCCCUUUAUUUGUUGCUCGAAGUUUUUCCUUUAAAAAAUACAAACCCUAAAAAAAACCCCCAUGAUCUGCCAGCUCUUUUGAUCAGGUGGGAACGUACAAACAAUUACAAAACAAAGGGAAGAAGUGAGGAAGUUUGAAAGCCUGGUUAGUCCAAACGCGGAAGAGCAUCUCUGCCCCACCGCAAAGAAGGAAAGCCAGUCGGGGCAGAAAUGCACAGCACAGAUGUGGCAGCAAAUACAUAACUUGGGCAAGAGAGCUUGUUGCUUCCUCUGUGGGAUCAGUUCAGGUACAGGUGUAACGCGGGGGGAAGAGAGGGACCGUAUUUGCCCGCGGAAAGAAGAUGUACCGCAUUUGUCUCCUGGCGCUGCGAGAAACGAUUGCGUACAGGAUUUGGCUCUUUGUUGGCACAGGGAAUAAGCGGCAGGCGCUGUGAAGACACGCUCACACGUGCAGAGAGAGACACACACACGAGCUCCCUUGCUGUUAGUGGUAGCAUAUGUUUAGAGCUUAUUUUCAGUGGCUCGGCUCGCCUCUCAGCGAGGCUGGCCACAGCAGCGCAGCCAGAUGUUGCACAGAAAUGCUGGACUUGGAGGGCUCCGGGUCCUGGCAGAGGGCAGGAGCUGGAGGCUGCCAGCCAGGCUGGAGCACUUACCUGUUCCCAGCUGUCACCGCAUUUCGUGCUGCGCUACUCAGCAAACACAUGUAUAGGGGGAAAGAAGGGGGAAAAAAAGCAGUGCCCAACAGGGCAGGCACCCUGUGCCCCAGAGAGGGGAUGAGCCAGUCUAGGACUCCUGCGGAGUUGGUGGAAGCGCCUCUGAAGUUUGCAUAAAAAGACACUAGGUUAAAAAAAGUCACUCCCCGACCUCAAAAGUCCCCGCUCCCUUAUUCCUGCCGGACAGCGAUCAGGCACCUUGUAAAUCCCCGCGGGUGACACUUUCCGACAAUGCAGAUGUUAGGGGCUUGGAACAUUUUGGAAAAAUGUUCAGAGAAACUUUUUUUUCCCCCUAAACCAAAGGAACAACAACGUGUGAGAGGAGGCUAAAGGAAAAGGAGCGACAGCCCUGUCAUCCGAUAGGGGGGGAAAAAAAGUUUGGUUAAGACUGAGACAACAACCAAAAAAAGAUCCCUGCGCGUUUCAGUCCGGGCAAAGCCAGCAGAUGAUGUGAGGUCCUCAGCAGCGGCACCCUUGGGCGCUCCCCCGCAGCCUGCGGGGAGGUUUUACCUGUUAGAUCGCCCGGUUCAAACACAGCAAACUCUGAAUGCCUUUUGCCAACACCAGGAACUGUCCUUUUUAGCGGAAGCAGAGAAGAAGAACAUCUGACUGUCAGUGGCAAUUGGGCAUCCUCCUGAUAGAGAAGCCAAAAUAUAUAACUAUAUAUCUAUAGAUAGGUAUAUAGAUAUAUAAAGCCGCAGGAAUAACCACCCCCACGUCCCCCAAAAUGGCAAACCACAGAAACUUUUUUUUUUCCCCCAAGAAAAUAAAAGCAAGUUGGACAUGGAGCCCCUUCCUGUCUCGGAAAGUUCAUUUCCAAGGUCCCCUCUAAAGUGCAAACACUCGGCUAAGGUAGUGAGUGGCUGGAAUUUGCAUGCUGAUAAGAGAAGGCUGCUGUACUUACAGUGACAGAGGGCAGGCUGCGGAAGAAAAGCUGUUUGUGUUAGCCUGAGAGUCACCCAGGGCUGCAAUGAGAGGAGCAGAGAGGAGUGGGAGUGCCAAGCUGGAUACACCUUCACCGCAUCUCAUCACAUCUGCCAGCCUCUCUCUCCCUCUCUCUUUCAUUUCCACAUUCCCUUUGUUCCUGCAAAAAAAAAAAAAAUCUACACGUCACAUCAGAGUCCCCAGAUGCAGUCUACACCAAAGGAGAAAAAAAAAUGAAUAAUUCAAUCAAACUGUGCAUAGUCUCUGAGGCACUAAAUCUAUUGCACUUAAAGAAACGGAGGGUAAUUACCGCCGCGGAAUUAGAAGCAGGCCGGAGAGAUCCAAACUGCACGGGCAAAUAAAGUUUCAUUUAUUGAA